CAAAGGAUACUGGUGCCAGAGCCGCCGAGCCUGCCUCACCUCAUGCCAGGGGAAAGAGUCACACUCACAGGAAAAAAAUUCAGGCCCAUUGGAAGACUUUGCAGGAAGAGAGAGAAAAGCUGCUGGGAUUUAAACUGACUGGAGAGGGGAAAAGCUGGGAGUAUCUGAAACAGAUAGAAAAGGAGAGGUAGAAAAUUGUUUCUGAAUUUCAGCAACUGAGGCAGUUCCUGGAGGAACAAGAACGACUCCUGCUGGCCCGGCUGGAAAAGCUGGACAAGGAGAUAGCGAAGAUACGGAAUGAAAAUAACACCAUACUCUCGAAGGAGAUUUCCCAUCUCGGUGAGCUGAUGAGUGAGCUGGAGGGGAAGUAACAGAAGCCAGCGAGUGAAUUCCUGCAGGUGAGACUGAAUUAGAAACGUGGCAGAUCCCCACACAGGGAAGGGAGGGCUCCUGAAUCAUAAGAACGGGGUUCCAGCAGUCAGAGAUCUCACUGUAACUCGGCGUGUGGAUUGCUGACAUGUGAAUGACUAUUGGUUAUUGCAGAGUU